rnacentral:rRNA from 1 species
UAACCUGCCCAAGAGACUGGGAUAACACCUGGAAACAGAUGCUAAUACCGGAUAACAACACUAGACGCAUGUCUAGAGUUUAAAAGAUGGUUNUGCUAUCACUCUUGGAUGGACCUGCGGUGCAUUAGCUAGUUGGUAAGGCAACGGCUUACCAAGGCAAUGAUGCAUAGCCGAGUUGAGAGACUGAUCGGCCACAUUGGGACUGAGACACGGCCCAAACUCCUACGGGAGGCAGCAGCC